rnacentral:rRNA from 1 species
UACAGAGGGUGCAAGCGUUAAUCGGAAUUACUGGGCGUAAAGCGUGCGUAGUCGGUUAUCUAAGUCAGGUGUGGAAUCCCCGGGCUCAACCUGGGAAUUGCAUUUGAUACUGGAUAGCUAGAGUUCGGCAGAGGGAAGUGGAAUUUCUGGUGUAGCAGUGAGAUGCGUAGAUAUCAGGAGGAAUACCGAUGGCGAAGGCAGGUCUCUGGGCUGACACUGACGCUCAUGCACGAAAGCGUGGGGAGCAAACAGG